rnacentral:rRNA from 1 species
GAUGAACGCUAGCGGCAGGCUUAACACAUGCAAGUCGAGGGGUAUAGUUCUUCGGAACUAGAGACCGGCGCACGGGUGCGUAACGCGUAUGCAAUCUGCCUUUCACAGAGGGAUAGCCCAGAGAAAUUUGGAUUAAUACCUCAUAGUAUUAUAGACUGGCAUCGGUUUAUAAUUAAAGUCACAACGGUGAAAGAUGAGCAUGCGUCCCAUUAGCUAGUUGGUAAGGUAACGGCUUACCAAGGCGACGAUGGGUAGGGGUCCUGAGAGGGAGAUCCCCCACACUGGUACUGAGACACGGACCAGACUCCUACGGGAGGCAGCAGUGAGGAAUAUUGGUCAAUGGACGCAAGUCUGAACCAGCCAUGCCGCGUGCAGGAUGACGGUCCUAUGGAUUGUAAACUGCUUUAGUACGAGAAGAAACACUCCAACGUGUUGGAGCUUGACGGUAUCGUAAGAAUAAGGAUCGGCUAACUCCGUGCCAGCCGCCGCAGUAAUAC